rnacentral:rRNA from 1 species
AGUGAACGCUGGCGGUAGGCCUAACACAUGCAAGUCGAACGGCAGCACAGUAAGAGCUUGCUCUUACGGGUGGCGAGUGGCGGACGGGUGAGGAAUACAUCGGAAUCUACUUUUUCGUGGGGGAUAACGUAGGGAAACUUACGCUAAUACCGCAUACGACCUACGGGUGAAAGCAGGGGAUCUUCGGACCUUGCGCGAUUGUAUGAGCCGAUUUCGGAUUAGCUAGUUGGCGGGGUAAAGGCCCACCAAGGCGACGAUCCGUAGCUGGUCUGAGAGGAUGAUCAGCCACACUGGAACUGAGACACGGUCCAGACUCCUACGGGAGGCAGCAGUGGGGAAUAUUGGACAAAGGGCGCAAGCCUGAUCCAGCCAUACCGCGUGGGUGAAGAAGGCCUUCGGGUUGUAAAGCCCUUUUGUUGGGAAAGAAAAGCAGCAGGUUAAUACCCCGCUGUUCUGACGGUACCCAAAGAAUAAGCACCGGCUAACUUCGUG